rnacentral:lncRNA from 1 species
UUAAUGGUUUGCUUGGUGAAUUGAUAACCUUUUUCUUUAGGGAUUCAUUGCUAAGUGAAGGAGUUAAGCCAAAUUUUGAUUUAUCAAAAUCAGCAUGUUGGCUUUCAAACAUCAUUUUUAAUCUUUCUGAACUUACAGUAAAUUUGUUAAUAAAAGACUUCAAUUGGUUAAUUUCUUUACUUAAGUUUUGAUUUUCUUUAAUUAAAUUCUGAUUUUUCUGAAUUAAUUGUUCUGAAUUUAACCUUAAAAUUUCAUUUUCAGAAUUUAGUUUAUCUUGU